rnacentral:rRNA from 1 species
AGCGAACGCUGGCGGCAGGCCUAACACAUGCAAGUCGAACGAACCUUUCGGGGUUAGUGGCGGACGGGUGAGUAACACGUGGGAACGUGCCUUUAGGUUCGGUAUAACUCAGGGAAACUUGUGCUAAUACCGAAUGUGCCCUUCGGGGGAAAGAUUAAUCGCCUUUAGAGCGGCCCGCGUCUGAUUAGCUAGUUGGUUGAGGUAAUGGCUCACCAAGGCGACGAUCAGUAGCUGGUCUGAGAGGAUGAUCAGCCACAUUGGGACUGAGACACGGCCCCAACUCCUACGGGAGGCAGCAGUGGGGAAUCUUGCGCAAUGGGCGAAAGCCUGACGCAGCCAUGCCGCGUGAAUGAUGAAGGUCUUAGGAUUGUAAAAUUCUUUCACCGGGGACGAUAAUGACGGUACCCGGAGAAGAAGCCCCGGCUAACUUCGUG